UUCUAUCACACAUCCAAUCCAUCUGACUCUUCCCACCAGUACACCCUCACUAAUUCACUCAACCCUCUCUUCACUUCUCUCUACCCCCACUCAGACUCCCCCAACUCUCAACAUUGUCACUCUCUCUCAUUCCUCACUACUCUCUGCCUCUCCCAUCUGUACCCCAUCUGCAACUCUCUUUCUCCCUCUCGGUAAAACUGAGAACCACCACCGUAAUCCCUGGAGCUUUUGCGCUGAUUCCAAUUUUUUAGUGAUUUCCAAGAAACGUAGUCUACGAUGCCUGAUCCGGCCUGAUUUGAAGAAGAUUUCUCAAGCGACUGUAAUUUCAUGGUAACCGUCUUCAGUUUUUGGGUUUGAACGCCGGAACCAGUGAUCUUUGAAGAAGGUGCGUGGUUGACAAAGGGAGGGGUUCAAAUCCCUCUAUGCGCAAGAUUGAGACUUUUCAGCAAUUUUCAAGUAUUUUUGGGUUUAAUCUUGCGAUAUUAUUAUCGAUAAUUUCGCGAUAUAUUGCCCAAAUAAUGCAUUAAAAUGCUGAAAAUAUCGUUUUUGAUAUUAUCGCGAUAAUAUCGACAAAAAUAUUGAUAUAUUGACGAUAAUUAAGUGGAUAAGUGUGAAAAUAUCGUCAUCUACAAAAAAAGAUAUUAUCGGUAAAAUAUCGCCGAUAAUAUCGAUAUUUUAGACCUUGGUUACUGCAAGCAUGAGUAUAAAUGAGACAAAUAUUAUUUUUAUUAUUACUGCCAGCCAUGAGUAUGCUUGAGGUAGAUAUUGUAUCUAUUAUAUAUACACACACAUGCCCUUUAAGGGAAGGGAUCUCCAUUGUACAAAAAAUAUGGAUUAGUUGUGAGGCCAACUCCAUAUCGAAUUUCAACGAUCCGAACCAUCUAUUUUGUAAGUCUCGAUUCAUAGAUCAACAUUUAAAAAAAUUCAAUUCAAUUCGAAAUCAUUUGCCUAUUUAAUUAUCACGACAAAAUUUUAUUGUUUCUUAUAGAACAAAGUAUUCAUCAAUUUCUUUGAACUCAAUUAGAUAUCUCAAAUAUUUCUAAUUUGGCUAAUAUUUUGCAAGGAUGAAGGUGCAACUUAAAAACAGACGGUUCGGGUCAUUGAAAUUCGAUGUGGUGUGUGCCCCACGACUAAUCUCCAUUAAAAAAAAAAGAGACCAUUUAAAAAAAAAAAAAGGUAUUUGCCUUACGUGUGUGUGUAUAUAUAUUGUAUAUGUCGUAUUACUGGAACUCAAAUGAGCUUCAUUGCUUAUCCAGGUUUUUGCAUUGACUGGUGCGCCAUAUUCCAACAGUGUAGCUAGUGUGUGUAGUGCACUUGAGAGUAGAGUUGGUUACUUAUAUUGUAAUUUCAUUUCUGCUGGUUAUAUGAUAUGUAUUAUAUAUAAUUCCUAACUUACUCUAUGCAUUUUUAUAGCUAUUUUUGCCGUCACGUGUCGAUCUUUGGCUUAUAUUGGGAUCAGGACAUGACACUUAAGAUCAUCAUCUUGCACGUGUGCAUGGAUUUAUGUCCUAUAAGCAUAAUUGACUAUAUCAACACACGACUAAUAACAACAUAGAAUAUCCUUUCGUAAAAUUU